UCACGUACUCACCAUCUCAUUCACUCACUCAUGUUUCUACUGUGGUAAAGUCCAUUAAAGCUUCCUGAGAACCUGGGACCACAGAGGUCUGACUAAUUAAAGUGGCAGUGAAAGGAGAGGAUCAGUCUUAACCCACUGAAGAGGGCUUGUGCCCUUCUCAGUCCCCAAAUGGCACCCUAUUCUCUAAAACACAGCUGGAGAAAAGCACUUCGUUCAUCCUUUCUCUGAGAUGAUGUCAGCCUGGACAGGAGGUAUUCAGGAGAGGACCGGUUCAGUAAUGUUGUCUGGUGAUGUCAGCCUGGACAACAGGUAUUCAGGAGAGGACCGGUUCAGUAAUGUUGUCUGGUGAUGUCAGCCUGGACAGGAGGUAUUCAGGAGAGGACCGGUUCAGUAAUGUUGUCUGGUGAUGUCAGCCUGGACAGGAGGUAUUCAGGAGAGGACCGGUUCAGUAAUGUUGUCUGGUGAUGUCAGCCUGGACAGGAGGUAUUCAGGAGAGGACCGGUUCAGUAAUGUUGUCUGGUGAUGUCAGCCUGGACAGGAGGUAUUCAGGAGAGGACCGGUUCAGUAAUGUUGUCUGGUGAUGUCAGCCUGGACAGGAGGUAUUCAGGAGAGGACCGGUUCAGUAAUGUUGUCUGGUGAUGUCAGCCUGGACAGGAGGUAUUCAGGAGAGGACCGGUUCAGUAAUGUUGUCUGGUGAUGUCAGCCUGGACAUCAGGUAUUCAGGAGAGGACCGGUUCAGUAAUGUUGUCUGGUGAUGUCAGCCUGGACAGGAGGUAUUCAGGAGAGGACCGGUUCAGUAAUGUUGUCUGGUGAUGUCAGCCUGGACAGGAGGUAUUCAGGAGAGGACCGGUUCAGUAAUGUUGUCUGGUGAUGUCAGCCUGGACAACAGGUAUUCAGGAGAGGACCGGUUCAGUAAUGUUGUCUGGUGAUGUCAGCCUGGACAACAGGUAUUCAGGAGAGGACCGGUUCAGUAAUGUUGUCUGGUGAUGUCAGCCUGGACAGGAGGUAUUCAGGAGAGAU